AGAGUUUGAUCCUGGCUCAGGACGAACGCUGGCGGCGUGCUUAACACAUGCAAGUCUAGGGGGCCCAGCAAUGGGUCACCGGCGAACGGGUGCGUAACACGUGAGCGACCUACCUUGAGAUGGGGGAUAGCCGGCCCAACGGCCGGGUAAUACCGCAUACGCUCUUCGGGCUUCAUGGCUUGGAGAGGAAAGCUUUAGCGUCUCUAGAGGGGCUCGCGGCCUAUCAGCUAGUUGGUGAGGUAACGGCUCACCAAGGCUAUGACGGGUAGCUGGUCUGAGAGGAUGGCCAGCCACAUUGGGACUGAGAAACGGCCCAGACUCCUACGGGAGGCAGCAGUGGGGAAUAUUGCGCAAUGGUCGAAAGACUGACGCAGCGACGCCGCGUGGAGGAUGACGCCCUUCGGGGUGUAAACUCCUGUUGCUCGGGACGAAACCCCCUUUCGAGGGGACUGACGGUACCGAGUGAGGAAGCACCGGCUAACUCUGUGCCAGCAGCCGCGGUAAUACAGAGGGUGCGAGCGUUGUCCGGAAUCACUGGGCGUAAAGGGCGCGUAGGUGGCUUGGUAAGCGUGCGGUGAAAGCUCGAGGCUCAACCUCGAGUCUGCCGUGCGAACUGCCGAGCUGGGGCACGGUAGAGGCACAUGGAAUUCCGGGUGUAGCGGUGGAAUGCGUAGAGAUCCGGAAGAACACCGGUGGCGAAGGCGGUGUGCUGGGCCGUAGCUGACACUGAGGCGCGACAGCGUGGGGAGCAAACAGGAUUAGAUACCCUGGUAGUCCACGCCGUAAACGAUGGGCACUAGGUCCUUGGGGGAGCGACCCCUUGAGGGCCGUCGCAAACGCAUUAAGUGCCCCGCCUGGGGAGUACGGCCGCAAGGCUGAAACUCAAAGGAAUUGACGGGGGCCCGCACAAGCGGUGGAGCAUGUGGUUUAAUUCGACGCAACGCGAAGAACCUUACCUGGGCUUGACAUGGCCGGGAAUUUCCGGGGAAACCUGGAAAGCUCUUCGGAGCUCGGUCACAGGUGCUGCAUGGCUGUCGUCAGCUCGUGUCGUGAGAUGUUGGGUUAAGUCCCGCAACGAGCGCAACCC
rnacentral:rRNA from 1 species